rnacentral:tRNA from 1 species
UCCCAGGUGGCUCAGUAGGAAAGAAUCUGUCUGCAAUGCAGGAAACCCAGGUUUAAUUUCUGGGUUGGGAA